rnacentral:rRNA from 1 species
AUUGAACGCUGGCGGCAGGCCUAACACAUGCAAGUCGAACGAGUGGCGGACGGGUGAGUAAUGUCUGGGAAACUGCCUGAUGGAGGGGGAUAACUACUGGAAACGGUAGCUAAUACCGCAUACCAUCGGAUGUGCCCAGAUGGGAUUAGCUAGUCGGUGGGGUAAAGGCUCACCGAGGCGACGAUCCCUAGCUGGUCUGAGAGGAUGACCAGCCACCCUGGAACUGAGGCACGGGCCAGAGCCCUACGGGAGGCAGCAGUGGGGAAUAUUGCACAAUGGGCGCAAGCCUGAGACAGCCAUGCCGCGUGUAUGAAGAGGGCCUUCGGGUUGUAAAGUACUUUCAGCGGGGAGGCGUUACCCGCAGAAGAAGCGCCGGCUAACUCCGUGCCAGCGGCCGCGGUAAUAC